rnacentral:rRNA from 1 species
UACGUAGGUGGCAAGCGUUAUCCGGAAUUAUUAGGCGUAAAGAGCGCGCAGGUGGUUAAUUAAGUCUGAUGUGAAAGCCCACGGCUUAACCGUGGAGGGUCAUUGGAAACUGGUUGACUUGAGUGCAGAAGAGGGAAGUGGAAUUCCAUGUGUAGCGGUGAAAUGCGUAGAGAUAUGGAGGAACACCAGUGGCGAAGGCGGCUUCCUGUCUGCAACUGACACUGAGGCGCGAAAGCGUGGGGAGCAAACAGG